CCUUCCUCAGGUUCUCCUUUGACCUUCAAACAAGACAAAUUACUUGCUCUGUGCUGCUGACAACAAGAGUGUGUCCUGAUUGUUUGGCUGCAGGAAGAUCACGGAACAGAACGCUGCCUUUCUCCCUUAGAAAACCCUGCAUAGAUGGUAGGAAAUUCACACUAGUCCUGCACCCAGUCCUGGAUUUCACAACUACUAGUUUUGGUAAAUUAUUGAAAUGUCCAGGUGCCAGCUUUUGCUAAAUCUACUCUGAACUGAUCACACUUAUCUCAACAUGAAUAAGUCUCACCCAAGUCUGUCGGGUUACUAUUAGGAGUGAUUCAUGCUGCUACAAGGUAAGAACUGAUUAAUUUAACAGACAAACACCUGCUUCCUGAUCAUUUAAAUAAUAUACUUAAUUGCUUGUAGUUCUUAAACCCAGGACUGGGUAUAGGACUGUUUUGAAUUUCUAACCUUGUGCAUAGCCAUGUCUAAUACCACAGGUCAAACUGGUCAGCAGAUAUAGGAUAUUCUUAAUUGUCUGUGACGGGGAGCGCCGGCCCUAUAUAUAUUGUGUGCUAUUUUUGUAAUUUAUUAUUAUUAUUAUUAUUAUUAUUAUUAUUAUUAUUAUUAUUAUUAUUAUUAUUAUUAUUAGCGGAGCGGAUGAAAGCCGCCACCAUUAUUUGUUAUUGUUUUGUUUUGUCUUUUUAAAACCUUGUGAGGAUGUGUGACUGAUCAGCUACUGAUUAUUUAAGUAGCUGACAGUCACGCAUCCAUACUAAACUCAUGCAGACGGUGACCAUCUCCCGAGUUAAUUCAUUGAUUAAUUGUUGUUAAUCGGGAGAUGGUCAUUGUAUAUAAACCUGCAGCUCUCUACCCUCUGGGAGAGUGUACAGAGAAUACGGGAGAGCGAGCAAGGAGAGAGAAAGUAAAAUAUAAACAGCUGCUAAGUGUGCUGGUUUAUACACCAGCACAAGACUUAUUUGUUUAUUUCUGUUUGUUUGGCCAACACACCUUUUUGUUUUGUAGUGUUUUGUUUAAAUCUUUAGUUUUUGUUUAUUAUUUAAUAAAAGACUGAACGCCGUAGCGUUUCAGUUUUGCCCCGCUACUUCCUGAGUCUGUGUUUCUGGUGUGACGUCACCACUGCAAGCCAUCCUGAUCACAUUGUCAUUCACAACCCCCCUUCGUCACCUCUAGAUAGCCUUCAGCCUGAACCAGGAUAGAGAGAACAGCCUUAGCAGCCAGGCAAAGCGGAACCAUUAGAUCAACAUAAGACAAGAAUAAUGACAUUUGCACAGAGAUAAAUGUGGAGUUUCAAAUACUGCAGCCAAUAAAGAACCAUCUUUGUGUAUGUGACACCAGGGCUGCAAGCUUUAGGGCAGUAAAACAACACAGAAAUUACACUCCGUCAGCAGACAUUCGGCUUUUUUUUCUAUAUAUAAUGAGCAUCAAAAGAAACUUAUCACUAUUAUAACACACUGAUUUUUGAAUAAAAUAAGGUAUAUAAAUGACAGACAUUGACAUUGUUUUUGGUUUCUUUUUAAUCCUCGAUCAUUCAUCCUUGACCAUGACAUGCUUGAGUGACCUCCCGACCUGUGAGGGUGCUGUGUAAAGGGAACAGAGUGCCCAGGACUGGAUGGUCUGACAAUUCAUUCCAAGGGAAAGGUGGAAGUCGGCCAUCUAGAAAAGAGGCGGAGCUACGGUACACCAAGUCAUCGCCCCAGAAGGGAAGCGAUGUGGCAACCGCGGAUUGGAGGAGAAACCAUGGCGCCGAGUUGAUUGCACGGAGGAGUUGGGUAGUACUAAGCAGACGCAGCUACAGGAGGAGUAAGGAAGCAGGAGCUGACGCCACAGAGCCAGCACAAAUACCUGAACACUACCUUCACGGCACAGCACUGACACGCACCACGAUCCCAGAGUUUUUGAAGAGCAUAAUUGUGUGCACUGGAGACGUGGGAUUAUUUACUGUGUGUUGUAUUAUAUUUUGGGUUUGCAAGCCCGUCGUAUUCCCCCGUAUUUUUGUUUUUGUUUAAAUAAACAAGGACAUUUUUGGGAACAUUAA